GUUGAACGCUGGCGGCAUGCUUUACACAUGCAAGUCGAACGGUAACAGGACUUCGGGUGCUGACGAGUGGCGAACGGGUGCGUAAUGCAUAGGAACGUACCCAGUGGUGGGGGGUCACGCAGCGCAAGCUGUGAUAAUACCGCAUGUGGUCUGAGGAUGAAAGCGGGGGACCGCGCAGCAAUAUUUGGCCUCGCGCGUUUGGAAUGGACGGUGUCGCAUUAGCUAGUUGGGAGGGUAAGGGCUUACCAAGGCGACGAUCCGUAGCCGGCCUGAGAGGACGACCAGCCACACUGGAACUGAGACACGGCCCAGACUCCUACGGGAGGCAGCAGUGGGGAAUCUUGGACAAUGGGCGCAAGCCUGAUCCAGCAAUGCCGCGUGCGUGAAGAAGGUCUUCGGGUUGUAAACCGCUGUUGGCAGGAACGAAACGGUGUCCGCUAAUACCUGGCGCUAAUGACGGUACCUGCAGAAUAAGCACCGGCUAACUACGUG
rnacentral:rRNA from 1 species